rnacentral:lncRNA from 1 species
UCAAACUAUUCCACCACAAAUUCCUCCCAAGUAUUUACUAGAGGAUGGACUUAGUGAUGAGUGUAAGACAUUGCUCUCAACUCUACCUAAACAAAGAUCAUGGCUUGCAUCACAUGAUUUCUACAAUUACCAAGGUUUUUGGCUAGAUCCAAGACUACUAGGAGGUGUGCUUGCGUGUCAGCAACAAUUUCAUGCUCAAUAGAGUGAUUUCAUCCUCGUAACAACUUCUAAAUCAGGAACGCCUUGGGUAAAAUCACUUUUAUUUUCUCUAAUGAAUCGAAAGAAAUAUCCUAUUUUUGAACAAGAUCACCCUUUACUUGUUAAGAACCCUCAUGAUCUUGUUCCAUUCUUGGAACUCAAACUCUAUGUUGAUGGUCAACUCCCUAAUUUUUCAUCUUUUACUUCACCUAGACUCUUGGCAACUCAUUUGUCCUUUGGUUCAUUGCCAAAAUCUAUCCAUGAAUCAAGAACCAAACUUGUUUACUUAUGUAGGAAUCCUAGGGACACUUUUAUUUCUAUGUGGCAUUUUGCAAACAAUUUAAAACUUGAUCACACUGACAUCAAGUCCAUUGAAGAAUGUUUUGAUCUUUUUUGCAAGGGGGUGAACCCUUAUGGUCCGUUUUGGAAUCACGUGUUGGACUAUUGGAAAGAAAGCAUAGAAAAGCCUAACAAAGUACUUUUCUUGAUGUAUGAAGAAAUUAAAGCGCAACCCAAACUUCAACUUAAACGCUUGGCUGAAUUUUUGAAAUGUCAAUUUUUCAUGGAGGAAGAAAGCAUAGAAAAGCCUAACAAAUUACUUUUCUUGAUGUAUGAAGAAAUUAAAGCGCAACCCAAACUUCAACUUAAACGCUUGGCUGAAUUUUUGGAAUGUCAAUUUUUCAUGGAGGAAGAAAAAUGUGGAGUGGUUGAUGAAAUAUUAAGAAUGUGUAGCUUUGAUAAUUUAAGUAAUUUGGAGGUGAAUAGAAAUGGAAAAUUGUCAUCUGGAGAGGAAAAUAAAGUCUUUUUUCGUAGAGGGGAAGUUGGAGAUUGGAAAAAUUACUUCACUAAAGAGAUGAGUGAGAAACUCGAUCAUAUUAUUAAACAAAAGUUUCAAGGAUCUGGAUUAAGUUUUCUGUACAUUUGAUU